rnacentral:misc_RNA from 1 species
GAAUUUAGAUAGCGGCGAAGCUGAGCAUCAGGAUGCAAGUGCUAGUGAUGGUGGGGCACAGGAAAAUGGAUUUGAAUUUCCUCCAGUGCCUAGCCAAAUAUCACUGCCACCUAUUGCUUCAAGCAACACUGGGCGAUCAACGUCUUUCAAAUCGAGAUUAGGCCUAUUAAGUGGGAGAAGUUUGGUGGCUUGCACUUUGAGAAGGUGGUCAAGCGGUAAUAGUUCGCGAAGUUAAUUUAGAUUGAGGACUGAGAGAAGUUGCAGGGCAGAAAAAUGGGUUCUUGCUCUUGGUCUGUUUGCAUUAUUUUGCAUUGUAUCUGAUUCCAUAUUUUAUGUACUGAAUUUGAUAUUGGCGUGCUGUUUGUUGCCUUUUCAACCGAAUAUUCAUUUGCAAAAAGUCAUCAUCUCUACUUGCCUAUAAUGCUGUUCAUUUUUGUUGAGUUUAUCUGCAAGUUUUACAGCAACUGAAAUAGUGGCGUUGUUAAUAUCUGGAUCAACAGCACAUGUGAAAUACAUUUAAUUAGAUUAAAACAUAACCUGUAAGUGUAUUUCACAUGUGCUGUUGAUCCAGAU